rnacentral:lncRNA from 1 species
CAGGCUGAUUGUAGUAAUCUGUUGUAAUCACAACAACUGUGGAAGAGCAGAGGCAAUCGGAAUAGUAACGGCUCGGGAACAGAAGACAAAAGGUUCCCCAAUAGACAAACUGUCCCUUCAGGCACUUAAAUCAGGAGGAGAUCAUAUCUGGACACAUUAAGAUGACAGCUCAGUGUUGUAUCAUAUCUGGACACAUUAAGAUGACAGCUCAGUGUUGUAUCAUAUCUGGACACAUUAAGAUGGCCUCAGUGUUGUAUCAUAUCUGGACACAUUAAGAUGCAGCUCAGUGUUGUAUCAUAUCUGGACACAUUAAGAUGACAGCUCAGUGUUGUAUCAUACUGGACACAUAAGAUGACAGCUCAGUGUUGUAUCAAUCUGGACACAUUAAGAUGACAUCAGUUGUACAUAUCUGACACAUUAAGAUGACGCUCAGUGUUGUAUCAAUCGGACACAUUAAGAUGACAGCUCAGUGUUGUAACAUAUCUGGACCAUUAAGAUGACAGCUCAGUGUUGUAAUAUCUGGACACAUUAAAUG